UAUGAUAUAAAGCACUUUGCAAAUAUUAAAUCUGCCCUUCAGGGAUCAACGUUUUCCAAGAAGAAAGUGUUGUUAUUCAGAGGGAAAGAGGUCAGAGAGCAGAGAGACCGCCCAGUGGGGACGGGGAGCUCGCGAGCCGAGCAGCGGCUCCCGAGGGUGGGCGAGGGUGGGCGAGCGGGGCGCAAGGCUGGGGAGUCGGCUGCAGGUGGCCCGGCGCCUCCAGGUGAGGGCGUGUACCUCUGGCGGGGGACCCCUCCUCCUUCCCGAAACCCGGGGUCAGGCAAGUCCCGGGAAGGGUCUCAGCGCCUCAAUCAGCGGCUCGGCGGCCAGACAGAUCGCCCAGGGACGAGCGCGCCUGCUCCUCACCCACACGGCCCAUCUCGGGGUGGGGUGGCGCGAAGCGAGGGCUGGGGCCGGCGCCCGAGUGCGGAACCGCACCCUCACACGGAAUUCCUUCUGGGACUGGGAGCAGGCCGAGGCCAGAAACUGAAGCGCAGACAGGGAAGUGAGCCUCUUCACCUCCCUUAUGCUGGAGGACAGGGUGAGGGCACAGGAGCAUCUCAGGGCCACAGUGAUCUGGCUUUUCUGCAGGUGAAGCAUGGAGAGCAUUUCAUGAGCAUGAGAAAUCUAGUUAAACUUCUCUUCUUCAGUUGGAUUCUUGUCAAAGUAAUACUUCCAGGCCAGUGUCUUAUGUGCCUUCUUAAACUUCUCCUGAGUGGCAUUGGAUUUCUCCCUCAGGGCAUCAUGAAGUGGCUUCUUUCACCAGUUUCUGCAGCUGGUGAGUAGUGGCUGGUUUAGGACACCACUGCUGGGCCUCUCAGUGGACAUUCUAGAACGUUCUCUCACAGGAGUUCUUAACGGCAGAUUUACUUCGACAGGAAGCAAAAGAGAUGCGAAAGGAGAAAUACUGUCACACAAGCAGUCACAGUUUGAAGCAUGUGAAGGAUUCGACCUGUCCCUGUUGAUUUGAAGAUGAAGAUAACAGUGUAAUGAGGAAAGCAGGUUGCCUUGGAAGCUGAGAGAGGCCUCUGGCUGACACUGGGAAAUAGAGUCACCUGCCCUGCAACACAAGGGGCUGAAUUCAGCCAACAACCUGAAUGAGGUUGAAGGCAUAUUCAUCUCCCAAGCCUCUAGAAGAAAGAAGCCAUGGACACCUGGCUUUUGGCUUUAUGAAACUCAACUCAGCCACACUCUGGGACUUCUGAAUUACAGAACUGUAAGAAAAUGAAUGAGGGUUUCAGCCAUUAUGUUUAUGGUGCAGUGUCAAUGGGGUACUCAUUCAUAGCCACACCAAAUCUUGAAAUUGGGUGUGUACUUUAAACCCACAAUACACUUCAGUUUGAACUUGCUUUCUACAAGUAUUCAAUAUCACAUGUAUCUAGUGGCUAUGCUGAUGGGCAGUACAUAUCUAGACCAAGAAGAAGCAAGAAAUUUGGAAGUGCCAGAUGUGUACACUGAGUAUAAUUGUUGACCUGUGGAGAGAGAAGAGAGGAGUAAGGAAGGGAGGAACUUGACAAGUUUUUUUUCCUAAUUCUCUUUCCUGUCCCAUGUGAAAUAAUAGAAACAAGCUCACACAGAAAACAGGCUACAUUUUAUAAGCCAGCUAUUUUAAAUCUAUUGACUCUGCUAUUUUUUCUGUUAGUGCUGUCAGGCUAUUAAUAGUCUUUUUUGAAUAUUCCAUUUUUGCCCUAGUUAAGUUCUGGAGCAAUCAAGAGAGGAGUCAUUGCUCUCUUGUGAAAUUUUGUUGGAGAUGGAGCAUCAGUCCUUUAUUUUCAGCAUUAUGGCAUUAUGGGAUAGAGGGUGUAGGCAAGGGUAAUCAUGGAAGAGCUGGGUGGUAAUUCAGCCUUCCCGAGAAGGCUGCUACUCCUCAUCAGAGAAUUUGCUUUUCUAUAUCAACUUUCUGAAGUCUAUGUUUUAUUUUUAUUAAAUAAAGGAAUCAUGUUUUAUAAUUCUAAUGGCAUUCCACCUUUACCCUUCCACCUUUCCUAUCUUUCCUAAUAGGUGAAAAUAUAUGAGCUUAGUCUGUAAAAUCUAGAGCAGGAACCAACCAUUGUAAUCUGGGACCAUAUUAUGAAGGUUUUUGCCAGACAGGACUACAGGGACUGGGUGCAAAGAAAACUAGAACUUAGAAUAGGAGGGAUCACAGGGAGGACAUGGUGAGUUGCAAUGAAAAAUGGGGUUAAGGGGUUAGCAAUGUAAAUUGAAUUUUGAAUUGAUUGGUUGAUGAAAAUUUAUUUUUAAACUAAAUUUAACUGUUAUAUAACAAAAUAAAAAUUGGAUAUAUUGAUGAAGUAACAGUCUCUCUCCUUCCCUUCCUCUCUUCUCUCCUCCCCCUUUUCUGCACACACACCCACCCACACACAGACACACAGGUAAUAUUUAAAUCAGGUUAAACCUAUCUAUCACCUCUGACAUUUAUUAUUUGUUUAUAGUAGAAACUUUUACAAUUCUUUUUCUUGUCGGGAGCAAUGCUGCAUAAUUUUAGGGAAAAAUCAUUUGCAGAGCCUAAUUCUCCUACCUACAGCCCAGCUAUGGAAUUCCGAGACAUAAUUCCAUUUUGGCCUCCAGUCACAAUUGAGACCUCAAUGAUCGGGUGAUGCUGUGAUUCUCCAGGACAAGAAACAUCCUGGGAGCUGAAAACAUCCUGGGAGCUGAAAACAUCCUGGGAGGAACAAACAUCUACUCAGUUCCUCCUUGUUCUUGGAUUGUUACAUCUUGUUUACCCGGAAGUACUGAACUCUCUGCAAGUCAUUUGUUACAUUUGUUUCUCCCAAUGUACUGAAUAAAAUGUGCGGUAAACUGGGGGGGUUCCUCUUUGUUGCCAAGAGCAGCACUGAUUAGACCCAAGCUCAACAACUUCUUAGUCUCAUUUUUCUACCUUUCCUGUAAUUCGCCGUGUACUGCCGUGGCUCACAGGAGCCUAGGACUUACUGCAGAGGUUCUGGUAACGUUCCCUUUCCCUGUUCCCUACAUCUUCUGUCUUUUUGAAAUGUGUUGGCUCCUUUUGACUACAGCGCAGAGCUUUGCUGUGAAAAGCUAUAAGGUGGGAAGGUUAGAAGCUCUAUAUCCUCUCUGUCCAAUUCAUCGCAGCCCUGAGCUACAUGUGACUGUCAAACACUAGAAAUGUGACUAAUUUGACAUGUGUUGUAAGUACAAAGUACACAUGGAAUUUUAAAGACUUAGUGCAAAAUAUACUGUAAAAUACUUCAUUAAUAAUUGCAUAUUGAUAAUAUUUGGAUAGUACUA
rnacentral:lncRNA from 1 species